AACGAAGAGCUGUUGGAGAGACGAGGAGUUAAGAGUUCAUUCGGCUGUCCAGAUGUAUCCAAGUAUCCUGUGUUAUUUGGCAAUAAAUACAUCUGGGCAACUGACUGAACUUUUCGCUUUUCAUGACUCAGCUGGA
ensembl:miRNA